rnacentral:rRNA from 1 species
AACGAACGCUGGCGGCAUGCCUAACACAUGCAAGUCGAACGAGACCUUCGGGUCUAGUGGCGCACGGGUGCGUAACGCGUGGGAACCUGCCCUUAGGUUCGGAAUAACUCCCCGAAAGGGGUGCUAAUACCGGAUAAUGUCUUCGGACCAAAGAUUUAUCGCCUUUGGAUGGGCCCGCGUUGGAUUAGCUAGUUGGUAGGGUAAAAGCCUACCAAGGCGACGAUCCAUAGCUGGUCUGAGAGGAUGAUCAGCCACACUGGGACUGAGACACGGCCCAGACUCCUACGGGAGGCAGCAGUGGGGAACAUUGGACAAUGGGCGAAAGCCUGAUCCAGCAAUGCCGCGUGAGUGAUGAAGGCCUUAGGGUUGUAAAGCUCUUUUACCCGGGAUGAUAAUGUCAGUACCGGGAGAAUAAGCUCCGGCUAACUCCGUG